rnacentral:rRNA from 1 species
GACGAACGCUGGCGGCGUGCUUAACACAUGCAAGUCGAACGGUGAUCUUGAGAGCUUGCUCUUGGGUGAUCAGUGGCGAACGGGUGAGUAACACGUGAGUAACCUGCCCCUGACUCUGGAAUAACUUCGGGAAACCGAAGCUAAUACCGGAUAUGACACAGAGCCGCAUGGUUUCUGUGUGGAAAGUUUUUCGGUUGGGGAUGGACUCGCGGCCUAUCAGCUUGUUGGUGAGGUAAUGGCUCACCAAGGCGACGACGGGUAGCCGGCCUGAGAGGGCGACCGGCCACACUGGGACUGAGACACGGCCCAGACUCCUACGGGAGGCAGCAGUGGGGAAUAUUGCACAAUGGGCGAAAGCCUGAUGCAGCGACGCCGCGUGAGGGAUGAAGGCCUGGUGUUAACGUACUUCUAUAGGUAAGGAAGAGGCAAGAGAGGUAACCGUACACGAAGAAGAGACCGACGUAACUACGUACGCACCGACGCGUACGUAUAAGUCGUACG